rnacentral:misc_RNA from 1 species
UAGAGUUUGUGGACUUCGGUCUGCUACCUCUUACCCAUGUCUUUUGAGUACCUUCGUUUCCUCGGCGGGUCCGCCCGCCGGUUGGACAACAUUCAAACCCUUUGCAGUUGCAAUCAGCGUCUGAAAAAACUUAAUAGUUACAACUUUCAACAACGGAUCUCUUGGUUCU